CGAACGCUGGCGGCGUGCUUAACACAUGCAAGUCGAACGGAAAGGCCCUGCUUUUGUGGGGUGCUCGAGUGGCGAACGGGUGAGUAACACGUGAGUAACCUGCCCUUGACUUUGGGAUAACUUCAGGAAACUGGGGCUAAUACCGGAUAGGAGCUCCUGCUGCAUGGUGGGGGUUGGAAAGUUUCGGCGGUUGGGGAUGGACUCGCGGCUUAUCAGCUUGUUGGUGGGGUAGUGGCUUACCAAGGCUUUGACGGGUAGCCGGCCUGAGAGGGUGACCGGCCACAUUGGGACUGAGAUACGGCCCAGACUCCUACGGGAGGCAGCAGUGGGGAAUAUUGCACAAUGGGCGGAAGCCUGAUGCAGCAACGCCGCGUGCGGGAUGACGGCCUUCGGGUUGUAAACCGCUUUCGCCUGUGACGAAGCGUGAGUGACGGUAAUGGGUAAAGAAGCACCGGCUAACUACGUGCCAACAGCCGCGGUGAUACGUAGGGUGCGAGCGUUGUCCGGAUUUAUUGGGCGUAAAGGGCUCGUAGGUGGUUGAUCGCGUCGGAAGUGUAAUCUUGGGGCUUAACCCUGAGCGUGCUUUCGAUACGGGUUGACUUGAGGAAGGUAGGGGAGAAUGGAAUUCCUGGUGGAGCGGUGGAAUGCGCAGAUAUCAGGAGGAACACCAGUGGCGAAGGCGGUUCUCUGGGCCUUUCCUGACGCUGAGGAGCGAAAGCGUGGGGAGCGAACAGGCUUAGAUACCCUGGUAGUCCACGCUGUAAACGGUGGGUACUAGGUGUGGGGUCCAUUCCACGGGUUCCGUGCCGUAGCUAACGCUUUAAGUACCCCGCCUGGGGAGUACGGCCGCAAGGCUAAAACUCAAAGGAAUUGACGGGGCCCCGCACAAGCGGCGGAGCAUGCGGAUUAAUUCGAUGCAACGCGUAGAACCUUACCUGGGUUUGACAUGGAUCGGGAGUGCUCAGAGAUGGGUGUGCCUCUUUUGGGGUCGGUUCACAGGUGGUGCAUGGCUGUCGUCAGCUCGUGUCGUGAGAUGUUGGGUUAAGUCCCGCAACGAGCGCAACCCUUGUUCACUGUUGCCAGCACGUUAUGGUGGGGACUCAGUGGAGACCGCCGGGGUCAACUCGGAGGAAGGUGGGGAUGACGUCAAGUCAUCAUGCCCCUUAUGUCCAGGGCUUCACGCAUGCUACAAUGGCUGGUACAGAGAGUGGCGAGCCUGUGAGGGUGAGCGAAUCUCGGAAAGCCGGUCUCAGUUCGGAUUGGGGUCUGCAACUCGACCUCAUGAAGUCGGAGUCGCUAGUAAUCGCAGAUCAGCAACGCUGCGGUGAAUACGUUCCCGGGGCUUGUACACACCGCCCGUCAAGUCAUGAAAGUUGGUAACACCCGAAGCCGGUGGCCUAACCGUUGUGGGGGAGCCGUCGAAGGUGGGACUGGUGAU
rnacentral:rRNA from 1 species